CAACCUUGGGAUACCACUCUUGGGAUAUUGGGAUUCUAACCUGCGACCAUGAAUCUGGUCGGGGGACACUGUCAGGUGGGCAGUUUGACUGGGGCGGUCGCCUCCAAAAGAGUAACGGAGGCGCUCAAAGGUUCGUUCAGCACGGAUGGAAAUCGUGCACUGAGUGUAAACGCAUAAACGAGCCUAACUGCGAGAAUGACGGUUCGAGCAGUAACGAAAGUUGGAGUUAGUGAUCCGGCGGUAUGUGAAUGGAAAUGCCGUCGCUCAACGGAUAAAAGCUACCCUGGGAUAACAGGCUGAUCUCCCCCAAGAGUCCACAUCGACGGGGAGGUUUGGCACCUCGAUGUCGGCUCAUCGCAUCCUGGGGCUGAAUUCGGUCCCAAGGGUUUGGCUGUUCGCCAAUUAAAGCGGUACGCGAGCUGGGUUCAGAACGUCGUGAGACAGUUCGGUCCCUAUCUGUUGCGGGCGCAGGAAUAUUGAGAGGAGCUGUCCUUAGUACGAGAGGACCGGGAUGGACGUACCGCUGGUGCACCAGUUGUUCUGCCAAGGGCAUAGCUGGGUAGCUAAGUACGGACGAGAUAAACGCUGAAGGCAUCUAAGCGUGAAACUCCCCUCGAGAUAAGUGUUCCCAUCCU
rnacentral:rRNA from 1 species